rnacentral:rRNA from 1 species
GUACACGCUGUGACUAGCAUAUCAAUAAGCGGAGGAAAAGAAACUAACAAGGAUUCCCCUAGUAACGGCGAGUGAAGCGGGAAGAGCUCAAAUUUGAAAUCUUAAAGGGUUUCCCUUUACGAAUUGUAGUUUAAAGAAGUGUUUUCUGUUGAGGUUUUGGUAAAAGUUCUUUGGAAUAGGACAUCAUAGAGGGUGAGAAUCCCGUAUUCGACCUUUACUUUCAACUUUGUGAUACACUUUCAAAGAGUCGGAUUGUUUGGGAAUGCAGUCCAAAAUGGGUGGUAAAUUUCAUCUAAAGCUAAAUAUUGGCGAGAGACCGAUAGCGAACAAGUACCGUGAGGGAAAGAUGAAAAGAACUUUGAAAAGAGAGUUAAACAGUACGUGAAAUUGUCAAAAGGGAAGCGUUUGACACCAGUGUUGUUUUUCUGAAAAUCAAUUAAAGAACUGUUUAUGCUAAGCUGUUUAGACUUUAUCAGCUAUACUGUUUAGUUUUGAGCUUUUCUUUAAUGCACUUUUCAGUUAACAAGUCAACAUCAAUUUCUUUUGCUGUAAAAAAGCUUGAGGAAGGUGGCUUGAGAUUCGUCUUAAGUGUUUAUAGCCUCCUGCCUAUGCAGUCGGAGAGAUUGAGGUCUGCAGCGUAGAUCCUUCGGGGCUAAAUGCAUUUGUGCUAAGUUAUAGCAUUUUAUAGACAACUUGUUGACUAUGAUUUGUCUUGUAGCUUACUCGCUUAUGUUAUUUUACCUACGCUUAGGAUGUUGAAGAUGUAGCACAUCAU